rnacentral:SRP_RNA from 2 species
GCUGGGUAUGGCAGUGCAUGCCUAUAGUCCUAGCUACUUGGAAGGCUGAGACAGGAGGAUUGCUUGAGCCCAGGAGCUCAAGGUUGCAGUGAGCUAUGAUCAUCAUGCCAUUGUACUCCAGCCUGGGCAACAGAGUGAGACCUUGUCUCUU